UACGUAGGGGGGCUAGCGUUGUCCGGAAUCAUUGGGCGUAAAGAGCGUGUAGGCGGUCCGGUAAGUCCGCUGUGAAAGUCGGGGGCUCAACCCUCGAAUGCCGGUGGAUACUGUCGGGCUAGAGUGCGGGAAGAGGCGAGUGGAAUUCCUGGUGUAGCGGUGAAAUGCGCAGAUAUCAGGAGGAACACCUAUUGCGAAGGCAGCUCGCUGGGACGUUACUGACGCUGAGACGCGAAAGCGUGGGGAGCAAACAGG
rnacentral:rRNA from 1 species